rnacentral:rRNA from 1 species
UGAACGCUGGCGGCAGGCCUAACACAUGCAAGUCGAGCGGAUGACAGGAGCUUGCUCCUGAAUUCAGCGGCGGACGGGUGAGUAAUGCCUAGGAAUCUGCCUGGUAGUGGGGGACAACGUUUCGAAAGGAACGCUAAUACCGCAUACGUCCUACGGGAGAAAGCAGGGGACCUUCGGGCCUUGCGCUAUCAGAUGAGCCUAGGUCGGAUUAGCUAGUUGGUGAGGUAAUGGCUCACCAAGGCGACGAUCCGUAACUGGUCUGAGAGGACGACCAGCCACACUGGGACUGAGACACGGCCCAGACUCCUACGGGAGGCAGCAGUGGGGAAUUUUGGACAAUGGGGGAAACCCUGAUCCAGCAAUGCCGCGUGUGUGAAGAAGGCCUCGGUUGUAAGCACUUUGUCAGGACGAACGGUAGGGGCGUAAUACCUCCUGCUAAUGACGGUACUCGAAGAUAAGCACCGGCGUAACUACGUGCCAACAG